rnacentral:rRNA from 1 species
GAUGAACGCUAGCGGCAGGCUUAAUACAUGCAAGUCGAGGGGCAGCAGCUCUGUAGCAAUACAGAGGCUGGCGACCGGCAAACGGGUGCGGAACACGUACGCAACUUACCCAUAACUGGUGAAUAGCCCUCCGAAAGGAGGAUUAAUACAUCGUAACAUAAUGAGAUGGCAUCAUUUUUAUUAUUAUAGCUCUCGGGCGGUUAUGGAUGGGCGUGCGGCUGAUUAGGUAGUUGGCGGAGUAAUAGCCCACCAAGCCAACGAUCAGUAACUGGUGUGAGAGCACGACCAGUCACACGGGCACUGAGACACGGGCCC